GGACGGGUGAGUAAUGCCUAGGAAUCUGCCUGGUAGUGGGGGAUAACGUUCGGAAACGGACGCUAAUACCGCAUACGUCCUACGGGAGAAAGCAGGGGACCUUCGGGCCUUGCGCUAUCAGAUGAGCCUAGGUCGGAUUAGCUAGUUGGUGAGGUAAUGGCUCACCAAGGCGACGAUCCGUAACUGGUCUGAGAGGAUGAUCAGUCACACUGGAACUGAGACACGGUCCAGACUCCUACGGGAGGCAGCAGUGGGGAAUAUUGGACAAUGGGCGAAAGCCUGAUCCAGCCAUGCCGCGUGUGUGAAGAAGGUCUUCGGAUUGUAAAGCACUUUAAGUUG
rnacentral:rRNA from 1 species